rnacentral:ncRNA from 1 species
ACAGUUAUAGUUUAUUUGAUGGUCUUUACUACAUGGAUAACCGUGGUAAUUCUAUGGCUAAUACAUGUGUACAUACCUCUUCUCUCGUGGAAGGGUAGUGUUUAUUAGAUACAGAACCAACCCACCUUCGGCUGGUCCGCACACGCACGCACUGAGAUUUUGCAGGAGUUCCGGCACGGUGUCCGGAUACCUCGACAUGGAAGUAUAUGU